rnacentral:rRNA from 1 species
GAUGAACGCUGGCGGCGGGCUUAACACAUGCAAGUCGAACGGAAAGGCCCAAGCUUGCUUGGGUACUCGAUUGGCGAACGGGUGAGGAACACGUGGGUGAUCUGCCCUUCAUUUCGGGAUAAGCCUACGUAACUGGGUCUAUUACCAUAUAGCACGAUUUUUUUGAUGCCAUUCUGGAAAUUUUUUUCGCUGUGGCAUGAGCUCGCGGCCUAUCAGCUUGUUCGUGGGGUAAUGGCCUACCAAGGCGUAGACGAGUAUCCGUGCUGAGAGUGUGUACGGCCGCAUUGGGGUUCAGAUCGAGCCAAGACUGGUACAGGGGGAAGCAGAGGGGAAUACUGCACAAAGGGCGCAAGACUGAUGCAACGACGCCGCGUGGGUGAUGAAGGCUUUCGGGUUGUAAAAUACUUACGCUAGGGACGAAGCGAUUUUGUGACGGUACCUGGAGAAGAAGCACCGGCUAACUGCGUG